rnacentral:rRNA from 1 species
AUAGCGUAUAUUAAAGUUGUUGCAGUUAAAAAGCUCGUAGUUGAACUUUGGGUCUGGGUGACUGGUCUCCCUUACUGGGUGCACUGAGAACCCGGACCUUUCCUUCUGGCAAACCUCAUGCCCUUUACUGGGUGUGUGGGGGAACCAGGACUUUUACUUUGAAAAAAUUAGAGUGUUCAAAGCAGGCAUUUGCUCGAAUACAUUAGCAUGGAAUAAUAGAAUAGGACGUGCGGUUCUAUUUUGUUGGUUUCUAGGACCGCCGUAAUGAUUAAUAGGGAUAGUCGGGGGCAUCCGUAUUCAAUUGUCAGAGGUGAAAUUCUUGGAUUUAUUGAAGACGAACUACUG